CAUUUGAGUUAAGAGUGCCACAGUCCUCUUAAUUUGUGCAUCUACUCUUCAGCAAAUAUUGUCCUGUGAGAAUGGAGCUCAUAAUGCAGGAAGAUGCUACACGCUACUUAGAAAAUAAUUCAGCAAUGGCAUCUUCUUUGUGUGUAAAUUCCAUGUCACUUUGGACAAAUCUUUGACAGCAUAUCAAGAAAGAAACAGACCAACUAAGAAGAAAUGACCAUUUUCCAGUCAUUUUAUAUAGCUUUAUGUAAAACAAUGUUUUGGCAGAUAUCAGUGCUCUUAUGAUUGAUGUCCACCCUUGUGUAUGGGACAAAUGGGUUCUGAUUAGAGCUGGCAAGAAAACAAGAACUCCGUUUCACAAACAA